rnacentral:rRNA from 1 species
UACGAAGGGGGCUAGCGUUGUUCGGAAUUACUGGGCGUAAAGCGUGCGCAGGCGGUUUUACAAGUCAGGGGUGAAAGCCCAGAGCUCAACUCUGGAAAUGCCCUUGAAACUGUUAAGCUCGAGUGCGGGAGAGGUGAGUGGAAUUCCCAGUGUAGAGGUGAAAUUCGUAGAUAUUGGGAAGAACACCGGUGGCGAAGGCGGCUCACUGGCCCGUUUCUGACGCUCAUGCACGAUAGCGUGGGGAUCAAACAGG